rnacentral:rRNA from 1 species
UACGAAGGGUGCAAGCGUUACUCGGAAUUACUGGGCGUAAAGCGUGCGUAGGUGGUUUGUUAAGUCUGAUGUGAAAGCCCUGGGCCCAACCUGGGAAUUGCAUUGGAUACUGGCAGGCUAGAGUGCGGUAGAGGAUGGCGGAAUUCCCGGUGUAGCAGUGAAAUGCGUAGAGAUCGGGAGGAACAUCUGUGGCGAAGGCGGCCAUCUGGACCAGCACUGACACUGAGGCACGAAAGCGUGGGGAGCAAACAGG